rnacentral:rRNA from 1 species
UACGUAGGGUGCGAGCGUUGUCCGGAGUUACUGGGCGUAAAGCGCACGCAGGCGGUCCUAUUAGUCUGGGGUGACAGUUCCCGGCUUAACCGGAAAAGGACUCUGGAAACUGUAGGACUUGAGGGCUUCAGAGGGAUGUGGAAUUCCGAGGUGGAGGUGGUGAAAUGCGUUGAAUAUCAUUCGGAACACCGAAAGCGAAGGCAGAGACACUGGGUGCCACCUGACACUGCUAGGACGAAAGCGUGGGUAGCGAAUGGG